ACAGCCUGAAUAGAAGGGCUGGUCCAGCGGCGGCGGAGGCUGGCGCUGUCCUGAGAGGGAGGGCUCUGUGCGGAAGAGGAGGCAUCCCUACACCCUAUGACUACAGGCCUGAUUCUCUUCUUUCAGUCAGGGCGACCCUUGGGCGCUGGAGUACGCUUGGGACUGGGGCUGCGAGUGAGCACCAGCGAUUGGUUCGGAAGCGGACAUUUGGUUCAGAACGAGCAUUUAACUCUGCCAGGGAUCCGCUGGGCUCUGACGACUGCGGUAGAUCCAUGGCUUCCUGGACGUUCACCCGUAGAGUCAUCCUAGCUUAACUCUUGUUCCCUGGUCUCAGUUCACAAGCCUCACCUGUAUCUUCCUGGCUCGGAAGAUAAUUGAAACCAAGUCUGACUUCUCAAUGAAUCGGACAAAGGGUGAUGAGGAGGAGUAUUGGAACAGCUCCAAGUUCAAGGCUUUUACCUUUGACGAUGAAGACGAUGAGCUUUCACAGUUAAAGGAGUCCAAGCGGGCGGUGAACAGCCUCCGAGACUUCG
rnacentral:lncRNA from 1 species